rnacentral:rRNA from 1 species
GACUUAAGCAUAUCAAUAAGCGGAGGAAAAGAAACCAACAGGGAUUGCCCUAGUAACGGCGAGUGAAGCGGCAACAGCUCAAAUUUGAAAUCUGGCUUCGGCCCGAGUUGUAAUUUGUAGAGGAAGAUUCUGGCAAGGCACCUACUGAGUCCCCUGGAACGGGGCGCCAUAGAGGGUGAGAGCCCCGUAUAGUAGGACGCUUAGCCUGUGUGAAUCUCCUUCGACGAGUCGAGUAGUUUGGGAAUGCUGCUCAAAAUGGGAGGUAAAUUCCUUCUAAAGCUAAAUACUGGCCAGAGACCGAUAGCGCACAAGUAGAGUGAUCGAAAGAUGAAAAGCACUUUGAAAAGAGGGUUAAACAGCACGUGAAAUUGUUGAAAGGGAAGCGCUUAUGACCAGACUUGCGCCGUGGUGAUCAUCCGCUGUUUUCAGUGGUGCACUCGCUGCGGCACAGGCCAGCAUCGGUUCUCGUGGGGGGAUAAAGGUCGCGGGAAUGUGGCUCGUCUCGGCGAGUGUUAUAGCCCGUGGCGUAAUGCCCCCGUGGGGACCGAGGUUCGCGCAUCUGCAAGGAUGCUGGCGUAAUGGUCAUCAGCGACCCGUCUUGAAACACGGACCAAGGAGUCAAGGUUUUGCGCGAGUGUUUGGGUGUUAAACCCGCACGCGUAAUGAAAGUGAACGUAGGUGAGAGCUUCGGCGCAUCAUCGACCGAUCCUGAUGUAUUCGGAUGGAUUUGAGUAGGAGCGUUAAGCCUUGGACCCGAAAGAUGGUGAACUAUGCUUGGAUAGGGUGAAGCCAGAGGAAACUCUGGUGGAGGCUCGCAGCGGUUCUGACGUGCAAAUCGAUCGUCAAAUCUGAGCAUGGGGGCGAAAGACUAAUCGAACCAUCUAGUAGCUGGUUACCGCCGAAGUUUCCCUCAGGAUAGCAGUGUUGUUCUUCAGUUUUAUGAGGUAAAGCGAAUGAUUAGGGACUCGGGGGCGCUAUAUUGCCUUCAUCCAUUCUCAAACUUUAAAUAUGUAAGAAGCCCUUGUUACUUAAUUGAACGUGGGCAUUCGAAUGUACCAACACUAGUGGGCCAUUUUUGGUAAGCAGAACUGGCG